CAGCAGCCGCGGGAAUACGGAGGGUGCAAGCGUUAAUCGGAAUUACUGGGCGUAAAGCGUGCGUAGGCGGUUCGUUAAGUCUGUUGUGAAAGCCCCGGGCUCAACCUGGGAAUGGCAAUGGAUACUGGCGAGCUAGAGUGUGUCAGAGGAUGGUGGAAUUCCCGGUGUAGCGGUGAAAUGCGUAGAGAUCGGGAGGAACAUCAGUGGCGAAGGCGGCCAUCUGGGACAACACUGACGCUGAGGCACGAAAGCGUGGGGAGCAAACAGGAUUAGAUACCCGCGUAGUCCCUGUCUCUUAUAC
rnacentral:rRNA from 1 species